rnacentral:rRNA from 1 species
UACGUAGGGCGCAAGCGUUGUCCGGAAUUAUUGGGCGUAAAGAGCUCGUAGGCGGCUUGUCACGUCGGGUGUGAAAGCCCGGGGCUUAACCCCGGGUCUGCAUUCGAUACGGGCUAGCUAGAGUGUGGUAGGGGAGAUCGGAAUUCCUGGUGUAGCGGUGAAAUGCGCAGAUAUCAGGAGGAACACCGGUGGCGAAGGCGGCAUCCUGGACCGGCAUUGACGCUGAGGCGCGAAAGCCAGGGGAGCAAACGGG